rnacentral:rRNA from 1 species
UGGGAAGUAUUGCACAAUGGGCGGCAAGCCUGACUGCAGCCAUGCCGCGCUGUAUGAAGAAGGCCAAUUCGGGGCUUUGGUUAAAGAUACUUUUCAGCGAGGAGGAAGGCGUUGUGGUUAAUAACCGCAGCGAUUGACGUUACUCGCAGAAGAAGCACCGGCUAACUCCGUGCCAGCAGCCGCGGUAAUACGGAGGGUGCAAGCGUUAAUCGGAAUUACUGGGCGUAAAGCGCACGCAGGCGGUCUGUCAAGUCGGAUGUGAAAUCCCCCGGGCUCAACCUGGGAACUGCAUCCGAAACUGGCAGGCUAAAGAGUCUUGUAGA